GAUGAACGCUGGCGGCGUGCUUAACACAUGCAAGUCGAACGGGAAACCUUUUAUUGAAGCUUCGGCAGAUUUAGCUGGUUUCUAGUGGCGGACGGGUGAGUAACGCGUGGGUAACCUGCCUUAUACAGGGGGAUAACAACCAGAAAUGGUUGCUAAUACCGCAUAAGCGCACAGGACCGCAUGGUCCGGUGUGAAAAACUCCGGUGGUAUAAGAUGGACCCGCGUUGGAUUAGCUAGUUGGCAGGGUAACGGCCUACCAAGGCGACGAUCCAUAGCCGGCAAGAGAGGGUGAACGGCCACAGUGGGACUGAGACACGGCCCAGACUACUACGGGAAGCAGCAGUGGGGAAUAUUGCACAAUGGGGGAAACCCUGAUGCAGCGACGCCGCGUGAAGGAAGAAGUAUCUAGGUAUGUAAACGUCUAUCAGCAGGGAAGAUAGUGACGGUACCUGACGAAGAAGCCCCGGCUAACUACGUG
rnacentral:rRNA from 1 species